rnacentral:rRNA from 1 species
UACGUAGGGGGCAAGCGUUGUCCGGAUUUAUUGGGCGUAAAGAGCGUGUAGGCGGCCAGACAAGUCUGCUGUGAAAACUCGAGGCUCAACCUCGAGCUGUCGGUGGAAACUGUCUGGCUAGAGUCCGGAAGAGGAGAGUGGAAUUCCUGGUGUAGCGGUGAAAUGCGCAGAUAUCGGGAGGAACACCUGUGGCGAAGGCGGCCCCCUGGUUGGAUACUGACGCUGAUACGCGAAAGCGUGGGGAGCAAACAGG